CCAAUAGCGUAUAUUAAAGUUGUUGCAGUUAAAAAGCUCGUAGGUGAAUUUCGGGGUCAGUAGGUUGGUCAUGCCACUGGUAUGUACUGGUCUCACUGAUUCCUCCUUCCUGAUGAGCCGUAAUGCCAUUAAUUUGGUGUUGCGGGGAAUCUGGACUGUUACUUUGAAAAAAUGAGAGGGUUUAAAGCAGGCUAACGACUGAAUACAGUAGCAUGGAAUAAUGAAAGAGGACGUUCGAUCCUAUUUUGUUGGUUUCUAGGAUUGACGUAAUGAUUAAUAGGGAUAGUUGGGGGCAUUAGUAUUCAAUUGUCAGAGGUGAAAUUCUUGGAUUUAUUUAAGACUAACUACUGCGAAAGCAUUUGCCAAGGAUGUUUUCAUUAAUCAAGAACGAAAGUUAGGGGAUCGAAGACGAUCAGAUACCGUCGUAGUCUUAACCAUAAACUAUGCCGACUAGGGAUCGGAUGAUGUUAAUUUUUUAAUGACUCAUUCGGCGCCUUACG
rnacentral:rRNA from 1 species